rnacentral:lncRNA from 1 species
UCAAAUAAGAAAACUAGAUGGCGUUGUUGUUCCCCUAUAAUGGCUGAUUGCUUGUAACUACUUGAAUUGAUGUCUAUUUAUUUUCUAAACUGUGUGUGUUUCUAAGGAAUAUUCAUCUAAAAAUUAACGGGUUGUUGCACUUAACACUGGAGCUUGAAUGCUUAACGCUGAAGAUUGAAUACUUGAUGCUGAAGCUUGAAUGUCAACAGUUUUCAUCUAGUUAGUGUGACCAGAGAUUGAUCUUCAAUGUUUCUUGUGAACAAUUCUCUCUAAUUUGCUUGCCAAAAAAUUUUGCUUUAGCACCACUGCCUCACCGGGAACCAUGAGUGGGAGCAUGACUAGUUCAUACAUCGCGUCAUUAUUCCAAAGGCCUAUUCGUGUUCCAACCAACCGUCGCCUUCAUCUUCGUGACUAAGCUGACAAACAUUUACAUAACUGAACGUCAUCGCUUCAUCAUAGUAUUAUAGAUGGUUAUCUUACGUAUAAUUGAUUACCAACGAUAAACAAAUCAAUCCGGAUCUUUACCUUUUCUUCUGCAUCUUCAAGUCCUCAUCUUCACCUCAUCGUCUUUAAGCUGAUCGUCUUUCCCUCACCGUCUUCAAGCCGACCAUCUUCCCCUCACCGUCUUCAAGCCGACCAUCUUCCCCUCACCAUCUUCAAACUGGUCAUCUUCACCUCACCGUCUUCAAGCUGGUCAUCUUCACCUUACCGUCUUCAAGCUGGCCAUCUUCCCCUCACCGUCUUCAAGCUGGUAGUCUUCGCUUCACCCUCUUCAAGCUUAUCGUCUUCGCCUCACUCUCUUCAAGCUGUUCGUCUCCGCCUCAAGGUUUUCGCCUGGUCUUCUCCGUCGUCGUGGAACUUCACGUUUUUGGUAUUUUGUUUUGUUUUGUUUUGUAUUGUUUUGUUGUAUAGUGUGUAUGGUACAAGUUAACCCGUUGGCUGCCACCCAUUUUGCUCCCCUUUUUUUUUAGCUUGUAGGGACCGGCGGCGCUGUUCUGCCCCAUGGUUGAUCACCCAUGGGGUGGGGCAGUCGCCUUGCGCCUUAGGGCGCGGUAGGCAAUGCACCAGUAGGGACUUCCCCUUGUCGAUGCGAUGGUGGAGUACCUGGGGUGUGCAUUCCCGUAAAGGUCUCCAUCGUCAAGUCAGCCCGGACUUGUCUUCGGACAAGUUCCCCUUUCAUCGGAUCCCUCUGAAACGAUGCGUAGCGACUGUAG